CCUACGGGAGGCAGCAGCUGAGGAAUAUUGGUCAAUGGACGGAAGUCUGAACCAGCCAUGCCGCGUGAAGGAUGAAGGCGUUCUGCGUUGUAAACUUCCUUUAUUAGGGAAGAAACCACUUUUUUCUAAGAGUGUUGACGGUACCUGAUGAAUAAGCACCGGCUAACUCCGUGCCAGCAGCCGCGGUAAUACGGAGGGUGCAAGCGUUAUCCGGAUUUACUGGGUUUAAAGGGUGCGUAGGCGGAUUAUUAAGUCAGUGGUGAAAUCCCGGGGCUCAACCUCGGAACUGCCAUUGAUACUAUUAGUCUUGAAUUAUGUUGAGGUUGGCGGAAUAUAACAUGUAGCGGUGAAAUGCUUAGAUAUGUUAUGGAACACCGAUUGCGAAGGCAGCUGGCUAAACAUAUAUUGACGCUGAUGCACGAAAGCGUGGGUAGCGAACAGGAUUAGAUACCCUGGUAGUCCACGCCCUAAACGAUGAUUACUCGUCAUUUGCGAUACACAGUGAGUGACCAAGCGAAAGCGUUAAGUAAUCCACCUGGGAAGUACGUUCGCAAGAAUGAAACUCAAAUGAAUUGACGGGG
rnacentral:rRNA from 1 species